rnacentral:rRNA from 1 species
CGCCAGACUCCUACGGGAGGCAGCAGUGAGGAAUAUUGGUCAAUGGGCGCGAGCCUGAACCAGCCAAGUCGCGUGAGGGAGGACGGCCCUACGGGUUGUAAACCUCUUUUGCCGGGGAGCAACGGGCGUCACGUGUGGCGCCACUGAGAGUACCCGGAGAAAAAGCAUCGGCUAACUCCGUGCCAGCAGCCGCGGUAAUACGGAGGAUGCGAGCGUUAUCCGGAUUUACUGGGUGUAAAGGGAGCGUAGACGGCGCUGCAAGUCCGGAGUGAAAGUCCAUGGCUUAACCAUGGUACUGCUCUGGAAACUGUGGAGCUUGAGUGCGGGAGGGGCAGGCGGAAUUCCUAGUGUAGCGGUGAAAUGCGUAGAUAUUAGGAGGAACACCGGCGGCGAAGGCGGCCUGCUGGACCGUAACUGACGUUGAGGCUCGAAAGCGUGGGGAGCAAACAGGAUUAGAUACCCUUGUAGA